rnacentral:rRNA from 1 species
UGAGGAAUAUUGGUCAAUGGGCGGAAGCCUGAACCAGCCAAGUAGCGUGCGGGAUGACGGCCCUAUGGGUUGUAAACUGCUUUUGAAGGGGAGUAAAGUGAGUGACUUGUCAUUCAUUGCAAGUACCCUUGGAAUAAGGACCGGCUAAUUCCGUGCCAGCAGCCGCGGUAAUACGGAAGGUCCGGGCGUUAUCCGGAUUUAUUGGGCGUAAAGGGAGCGCAGGCGGGAGGUCAAGUCUAUCUUAAAAGUGCGGGGCUUAACCCCGUGAGGGGACCGAAACUGCGAUGCUAGAGUAUCGGAGAGGAAAGCGGAAUUCCUAGUGUAGCGGUGAAAUGCGUAGAGAUUAGGAAGAACACCAGUGGCGAAGGCGAUUCUCUGGACCGUAACUGACGCUGAGGCACGAAAGCGUGGGUAGCAAACAGGAUUAGAUACCCUGGUAGUCCACGCCGUAAACGAUGAGUACUAGGUGUAGGAGGUAUCGACCCCUUCUGUGCCGCAGUAAACACAAUAAGUACUCCGCCUGGGAAGUACGAUCGCAAGAUUA